AUGCUAAGAAAUCAAGUCAUGUAGUCCUCGAUAUAUGUAUGACCUCCUAAUAUAAGAUCACUAUGAACUAUAUGGUUUCGUCGUGCAUUCCAAAUGGUGAUAUACUGUGUAUAUCUGAUACAUUAGUCAAUAUGAGCUCUCCCUCAUCGAUCAAUACGAUGAAAUCGUUGGCUGGUAUCAAACUGCUCUGGGAUAUCCUGAAUCUGAUCAAACAACCGCAGC
rnacentral:lncRNA from 1 species